rnacentral:rRNA from 1 species
UACGUAGGGACCAAGCGUUGUUCGGAUUUACCGGGCGUAAAGGGCGCGUAGGCGGUCAGCACAAGUCAGUUGUGAAAUCUCCGGGCUUAACUCGGAAAGGUCAACUGAUACUGUGCGACUAGAGUGCAGAAGGGGCAACUGGAAUUCUCGGUGUAGCGGUGAAAUGCGUAGAUAUCGAGAGGAACACCUGCGGCGAAGGCGGGUUGCUGGGCUGACACUGACGCUGAUGCGCGAAAGCCAGGGGAGCGAACGGG